GCGAACUGGUGAGUAACACGUGGGAAACCUGCCCAGAAGCGGGGGAUAACACCUGGAAACAGAUGCUAAUACCGCAUAACAACUUGGACCGCAUGGUCCGAGUUUGAAAGAUGGCUUCGGCUAUCACUUUUGGAUGGUCCCGCGGCGUAUUAGCUAGAUGGUGGGGUAACGGCUCACCAUGGCAAUGAUACGUAGCCGACCUGAGAGGGUAAUCGGCCACAUUGGGACUGAGACACGGCCCAAACUCCUACGGGAGGCAGCAGUAGGGAAUCUUCCACAAUGGACGAAAGUCUGAUGGAGCAACGCCGCGUGAGUGAAGAAGGGUUUCGGCUCGUAAAACUCUGUUGUUAAAGAAGAACAUAUCUGAGAGUAACUGUUCAGGUAUUGACGGUAUUUAACCAGAAAGCCACGGCUAACUACGUGCCAGCAGCCGCGGUAAUACGUAGGUGGCAAGCGUUGUCCGGAUUUAUUGGGCGUAAAGCGAGCGCAGGCGGUUUUUUAAGUCUGAUGUGAAAGCCUUCGGCUCAACCGAAGAAGUGCAUCGGAAACUGGGAAACUUGAGUGCAGAAGAGGACAGUGGAACUCCAUGUGUAGCGGUGAAAUGCGUAGAUAUAUGGAAGAACACCAGUGGCGAAGGCGGCUGUCUGGUCUGUAACUGACGCUGAGGCUCGAAAGUAUGGGUAGCAAACAGGAUUAGAUACCCUGGUAGUCCAUACCGUAAACGAUGAAUGCUAAGUGUUGGAGGGUUUCCGCCCUUCAGUGCUGCAGCUAACGCAUUAAGCAUUCCGCCUGGGGAGUACGGCCGCAAGGCUGAAACUCAAAGGAAUUGACGGGGGCCCGCACAAGCGGUGGAGCAUGUGGUUUAAUUCGAAGCUACGCGAAGAACCUUACCAGGUCUUGACAUACUAUGCAAAUCUAAGAGAUUAGACGUUCCCUUCGGGGACAUGGAUACAGGUGGUGCAUGGUUGUCGUCAGCUCGUGUCGUGAGAUGUUGGGUUAAGUCCCGCAACGAGCGCAACCCUUAUUAUCAGUUGCCAGCAUUAAGUUGGGCACUCUGGUGAGACUGCCGGUGACAAACCGGAGGAAGGUGGGGAUGACGUCAAAUCAUCAUGCCCCUUAUGACCUGGGCUACACACGUGCUACAAUGGAUGGUACAACGAGUUGCGAACUCGCGAGAGUAAGCUAAUCUCUUAAAGCCAUUCUCAGUUCGGAUUGUAGGCUGCAACUCGCCUACAUGAAGUCGGAAUCGCUAGUAAUCGCGGAUCAGCAUGCCGCGGUGAAUACGUUCCCGGGCCUUGUACACACCGCCCGUCACACCAUGAGAGUUUGUAACACCCAAAGUCGGUGGGGUAACCUUUUAGGAACCAG
rnacentral:rRNA from 2 species